GGAUUGCCCCAGUAACGGCGAGUGAAGCGGCAACAGCUCAAAUUUGAAAUCUGGCCCCCCAGCGGGGUCCGAGUUGUAAUUUGAAGAGGAUGCUUCUGGCAAGGUGCCUUCCGAGUUCCCUGGAACGGGACGCCGCAGAGGGUGAGAGCCCCGUACGGUAGGACGCCGAGCCUCUGUGAAGCUCCUUCGACGAGUCGAGUAGUUUGGGAAUGCUGCUCAAAAUGGGAGGUAAACCCCUUCUAAAGCUAAAUACCGGCCAGAGACCGAUAGCGCACAAGUAGAGUGAUCGAAAGAUGAAAAGCACUUUGAAAAGAGAGUUAAAAAGCACGUGAAAUUGUUGAAAGGGAAGCGCUUGCGACCAGACUCGCGCCCGUCGGAUCAGCCGUCGCUCGCGGCGGUGCACUCCGGCGGGCUCGGGCCAGCAUCAGUUCGUUGGGGGGGAGAAAGGCGGCGGGAAUGUGGCUCUACGGAGUGUUAUAGCCCGCCGUGUAAUACCCCCUGGCGGACUGAGGACCGCGCGUAUGCAAGGAUGCUGGCGUAAUGGUCGUCAGCGACCCGUCUUGAAACACGGACCAAGGAGUCGUCCUAAUAUGCGAGUGUACGGGUGUCAAACCCCUGCGCGUAAUGAAAGUGAACGGAGGUGAGAGCUUCGGCGCAUCAUCGACCGAUCCUGAUGUUCUCGGAUGGAUUUGAGUAAGAGCAUAUUGGGCCGGACCCGAAAGAAGGUGAACUAUGCCUGUGUAGGGUAAAGCCAGAGGAAACUCUGGUGGAGGCUCGCAGCGGUUCUGACGUGCAAAUCGAUCGUCAAACAUGGGCAUGGGGGCGAAAGACUAAUCGAACCUUCUAGUA
rnacentral:rRNA from 1 species